AACAUUUGUUUUAAAAACAGGAAAAUGUGAUUGUAAAACCACAACAAUGGGCCGGGGAAGGAGCCGGAGCAGCUCUCAAUUUAGCUUUCGAAACAGCCUUCCAGUUGACUAAAUGUUUCUGUAGCCAACAGCCGCAGCGCUGCGCGCCCUCUCCCGACUCCGGCAGCGCAUGCAGCGCCCGGUGCUUUGCUGUCUGCGCUGCGGCAGUGCCACAUCUGCACCGCCCACUGCAAACCCCUUCCUUGUGCAAGCACUUGGGACAGCCCAUUGCAAACCCCUUCCUUGUGCAAGCACUUGGGACAGCCCAUUGCAAACCCCUUCCUUGUGCAAGCACCGGGACAGCCCGCUGCGCUCCUCGCUGCACGUCCCCCCCGGCACUGCCCAAUUGAUGCAGCAUUUUCUGUCCACCUUUGGCUUUUUCUUUCUAAAAGCAGCUCCAGUUGUGGCCAUCCCACGAAAACUCACUGCAUGCGUACGCUGAACUCUACCUGCCCAACCUCAUCCUUGCUUUUUCCAUCGGAGAAAAGCCAAACGUCUUCACAAAAAGGGGCCGUGUGAGGUUGCGGCACAGUUUGCGCAUGUCACCGCCACCUGAGUGGCUGGAAAUGGUUUAUUUCCCUUCCAAAUGCCCAGAGGGUUUGUAUCCAGAUAAAGAAAUAAUAGCCGGCAAAACUCUGUUUUCCAAAACACCAAGAGAAUGAACAAAGGCGCCUGACACGGAGCUGCUGGGACAUCACCACCGUGGGCUGCAGCCCCGGCGCGGUGCAAUGUCCCCAUUUUGGGACUAGGGGCUCUCAGGGUGGGCUUUGGGCUUGGAGCUUCCAGACAAAGAAAUCAGAUCUUGGACCACAUUGGUGCAACAGUGACGGAUCCUCGUUGUCCCAGGGCUCUGUGGGGUACAGCCGCCCACUCCGCCAGCAGAGCAGCAGCUCCUCAACUCACCCGAGCCAGGCAGAUGGGAUUUUCUCAUUGAGCCAAUUUAGGGAAAGGAAAUAUCCAUGAGAUCCUCCAAGCUCCGAGGCUGGUGCAGCUCUGAGAGCACCACGGAGCCCCAGCGCCCGUAGCGCACUGCAGGCAAACCAGGCUGCUCCUGGGGCUGGGAAGCCAAGAGCCAAAGUUUGCAGAUCUCUCCUUUUUUUCCCACCUUUCCAGCUGUGUGCCGUGGUCAGUUCUGGUUUCUCAGCAGAGCAGGAUGGCUGCAUGCCUCCCCCGUGCUGAGCAGAGCCCCAAAGGGUGGGAAAGCAUCGCAGCAGCUCAGCAAAGGUCUGGUGACUGCCCUUCCUGCUCAACGAGGGGCUGGAUGGAGAGCCCCAUGCACCCCAUGGGGAGGCUGUGGGGUGAGAGAUCUGUGACCGUAGGGGCUGCGUGGGGCCACAGCAAUCUGUGCAGAAGGGUCCAACAGCAGAGCAUGAUCCAAAGUGAAAUAAUCCCAUUUCAAUGAGAAAUAAGGAGCACGUAAGGGGUGCUGUGGCCCAGACGUGGACACAGUAGUUUCCACAUCAGUGCAACAGCUCGAAUCCAUUCCGGUUCUCCUGUUACAGUAAUAACAGUGCAGACCUUGCUCUAGCACUCCGAUCUUGGUACAAAGAGCACUGUGAGGGCCUUUGGGUUGGGCUGGAGAGGAAGGACCUAUCUUUUUUGCAGCUUUGUGAUGGCACAAAGUCUACCUGAAUGGGCAGAGCAGGCUGCAGACAGAGCAAAGCGGCCGCACCACCAGACAAGGUGGGUCUGCGGGGGAAGGUGGAUGCUUUCCUUCCAAAAAGGCUCAGAAAAUACAUCAGGAAUGGCAAUGCUAGUAAAUCUUUCCACCCAGCAAGCCAUGACCUCAGCUCCCAGCCCUCCUGCAAGAAGCUGGAGGCGAUGCUCAGCUCCUCGGUGCCAGUGCGCAGUGAAGGGGCAACGCGGAACAGAUCGUGCUGUGGGGGGAAUGCAUCCCCAGUGCAUCCAUUUCUUUCACCUGGGGACAUAUCUUGGUGCCUAGCUCCUUGAUUUCUUAGCAUGGGGAUGAAGCAGAGGAUGGAAAGGAGGGCUCCCAUCAUACAGAGCACAGCCAACCUCCAUGGCACCUCGGAGAUGGGAUUCAUGGCACAUGUGAGGGGGGAGAACCCAAGAUAGAAGCAGGAUGGACUUGGUUCUCGCUGCCAGCCGGUGGGUUGAGAUAUGAGAACACGAGCAGCAAAGCUCCUGCUGCGGCUCAAAGCAUUGCCAUAGGAUCCUAAAGUCAUUCCAGGAUGGAAGCAACUUGGUCACCCUCCUGCCUGAAACAAAGUCACACAUCGGGGGAACCCAGAGCAUCUCGACAGCAAAUACAAAGAGAAGUGGGGACAGAGCUGCCUAAACCCCCCAGGCAGUGAUGCACCCCAAUGCUGCUGAACAGCCACAUCCUACCCACAACCAGGCCACCCUCAGGAAGAGGCCAGUGCUGUGCCUGCUGCUCUGAACUCGGCCAGCCACCCCUGUGACGGAGCGGUGCGGGCUGGCAGAGCAUCCCCUGCACCCACAUGGGGACCCACCUCGUGCCUGCACCCCAAGCUCAAAUCCUGCCUCGAGUCCGCAGGGAUUGAUGCUCUGUGCUGAGCUCUGGCUCUGGCCCAUGCUGGGCUCUGCUCUGUGUUUUGGAGGAGACGGGAGGGAAGCGCUGGCUGCUCCCCCCAGUGCCCAGCACCCGCUGAGUGCUUCUGGUGGCCCUCCUGCAUGGCACUGCCCUGCCUUCCCCUCCAUUUUUGGGGGGUGUCUCUUGAUUUUUCACGGAUUUCUGUACAAACUUACACCGAGUGCUGCAGAGGCGCUGAUGGAACCCCCCAGAGCCAUGGGGUAGGAUGCAGCCAUCCAGAUGAGGCAUCCAGCGCUGCUACACCCCAGGUCACAGAAAUCCCAACAGAGGAGAGGACAGCCCGUGCUGUGCGUGUCCCCAUUCUAGCAGGCAAGGACCCAGGGCAGCUCCAUUCCUCCAAAUCCCUCCCCACCUCCUCUCACUGAGAUCUGAAGGGUUUUUCUGUCUCUACCCCAAAAGCAAUAGAGGGAGACCCUGCCCCUACCGCACCCCAAAAUCCCCGUGUGGGAUUUCUCUCCCACCCUUCUCCGGCUCACAACGAUCUGCAGAGCUAUGUAAAAAGAAAAAGAAAAAACCCAACAAAGAAUAAGGCUCACACGACAAGGCUGAGGUCUCACUGAGCCACAUUUCAGCACACUGCGGUCCCCAUGACACGGGUGCUGCCCUCGCCUGAGCUUGACGAUGAACGCUUCAGGCUUCCUCUUAGCAAUGGUGACCUCUCCAUCCCCAUGACUGCGCCGUUACUCACACUUCAGAUUCGAAGUGAUCUGCUGGAAACCAUCCUCUCUGGGUGGAAAAAGCCCCCCUAAGUGCCAACGAUGCAGCACGGCUCGUCCUCUGCCACCGCUGCAGCGCUUCGACUCUGCAGGGCGAGGGCUGGGUUUGCAAGCAAGGCUGCUCCUGUGAGCAGAGCAAGCGAGCCCAAAGCAUCGCAUCACGGCUCUGCAGGGAAAGGCAGAGACAGGCGAGCAUGGGCUGUGCACAGCGUUCCAAAACUUCCACCAGAAGAACACACGUUUGCCAAAUCUGCAUUUUGUUUUUGGCCUCUUUUUUUUUUUGGUUUUCGCUGUUGCCCAAGGCCUGCUCUCAGCUCUCUGACGCUCAGAUUUUCAUCAUUGAUUCUUUUUUUUUUUUUAUCUUGCAGCUUUCCUCAAAGCCUGCAGCCUUCCUGAGCUGGGGCAGCACCUGCCCGUGAGCAUCGCUGCUGCGCUGAGUUCGGCCAUCCAGAGCCAUUGGGUGCGUGCAGAUCAUUCAGCUUGAAGGGUCCUGCUGCUUUACAGGUGCCAGCUCUCCCAAUCUGCAUCUGGGUUUUUGAAACACCCUGAGCACGUGCUCAGCGUUCUCUACAGCCCAGAGAACUGAAGCAAGUUGGAAAUUCCCAGGCCGGGCCGUGGGAGCGUUACGCCACUCUCAGCACUUUCGAAGCAGGGCGAAACUCAAGAAUCCUUCCACUGCAGCUUCCCUCCUCCUAACCGUGGGCUCACAGCGCGCACUGUUCUGUCUCGAUGCCAUCACCCAAGCUCUUCACCAAGACAAAACCAAAGAGCGAGGAAGUACCAGGGGUCGAUCAGAGAAGAGGGGAGAGCUGCACUACUUUGUGACGAAGGAAACAGGGAGAAUCUGCCCCGUCCCUUGGUCCGGGCAGGGCGAUGGCUGGCGUGCUGAGAAGCUGCUGCAAUGUGAGCAGAUUGCAGCUGUGUAUCCUUAUGGUUUAGCAGCACAAAGGCAGUGCCAGGAGCGAGGCAAAUGGCAAACGAGGAGAGGGAGCAAGUGAAGUUUCCAUGAGACUUCUGCCUCCGCUGCUGCGACAUGGGACAAUCCCUCAGGGCCGACACGAAGUGGCGCAGCCCCAAAUCAUCCCCAGCAACCAACACCCCACGUGCAGAGCGUGCCCCACUCGGAUCUGCUGCUUCAGAGCGAAAGCCAGCAGCUGGAACUCGGUGCAGGGAAAUGAGGCAGGGACCGUGCCCUGCAGAGCCAAGGAAAGAAAACCCCAGGGCUGACCCCCCAUGUGAUAAAGGGCAGCAGAACCUCUGUGAUUUGGGGGGGAAACAACUGAUAGGACAAAGGCACCAAAAGGCACAGGGGAUCCUCUGAGCCGUGGCAUCCUCCCCUAUACCCCACCAGAAUAAUGGGUACGUGAGCGAUGGAGAAAAGAGAAAAGAUGCCCCCCAAUAGGG